rnacentral:misc_RNA from 1 species
GGUGAAGAACGUAGCGAAAUGCGAUACGUAAUGUGAAUUGCAGAAUUCAGUGAAUCAUCGAGUCUUUGAACGCACAUUGCGCCCCCUGGUAUUCCGGGGGCAUGCCUGUCCGAGCGUCAUUGCUGCCCUCAAGCACGGCUUGUGUGUUGGGCCUCCGUCCUCCUCCCGGGGGACGGGCCCGAAAGGCAGCGGCGGCACCGCGUCCGGUCCUCGAGCGUAUGGGGCUUCGUCACCCGCUCUUGUAGGCCCGGCCGGCGCUUGCCGACACAUCAAUCUUUUUUCCAGGUUGACCUCGGAUCAGGUAGGGAUACCCGCUGAACUUAAGCAUAUCAAUAAGCGGAGGA